rnacentral:misc_RNA from 1 species
CCUUCCUUUUCCUUGGUCUUCAGCCUCGGUCAGGUUCAGGGUACGGUUUUGUUGGGGUCCUUGGCGUGGCGGACACGUGCGGUGCCGUUGUUGCCGGUGAUACCACAUGGCAGGAUUUUGUGGAUUGGCUGCUAGAACCCCAACAUCUACGAUAAAGAACUGCUCAACCUCAUCGGAUCAGCAUCGGUAUUCUUCCCUCUGGCCGAGCCAAAUUUUUUAACCCCGGCUGUCAUCGUGAUG